rnacentral:rRNA from 1 species
AUACGGAGGAUCCGAGCGUUAUCCGGAUUUAUUGGGUUUAAAGGGUGCGCAGGCGGCCAUUUAAGUCAGCGGUUAAAUCGUGGGGCUCAACCCCAUUCUGCCGUUGAUACUGGGUGGCUUGAUUGCGGUCGAGGUUGGCGGAAUUCGUUGUGUAGCGGUGAAAUGCAUAGAUAUGACGAAGAACACCGAUCGCGUAGGCAGCUGACCAGACCGCAAAUGACGCUCAUGCACGAAAGUGCGGGGAUCGAACAGGAUUAGAUACCCUGGUAGUCCGCACAGUAAACGAUGAAUACUUGUUUUCGGCGAUAUAAUGUCGGAGGCAAAGCGAAAGCGAUAAGUAUUCCACCUGGGGAGUACGCCGGCAACGGUGAAACUCAAAGGAAUUGACGGGG